rnacentral:lncRNA from 1 species
UUCAAAUAAGGACAGGCACUUGAGCCAUCUACUUCAUAUAAUUUCAAGAACCCAUAUGAGAGGCUCAAAAAUAUUUUGCCAUUUUCCUUCUUAUGGUUCAUAAGAAGAUAAGUUGGUUAUUCAAUGGGAGGAAAUUUUCCCAUUUUAUAAUAUACCCCAAUUUGGUGUGAGCGAGAUUUGAUUCAAAAAAGGUAUGUUUUUAAUCUUUUGCAGUUCUUGAUUCUUCAUCUUCUUCACUUUCUUGUCGCCUUUUUCUGUUUCUUAAUUCUUAAUGCUUAAUUUUCCUUUCUGGAUAUUUUGAGUAUGAGCUUAGGCAGUAAGGUUAUAGGUAUUUAAUUUAUCUUUAAUCUCUAUUUGGAAUAACCUAAUUACAUCCCUUGUCUUAGUUAUUCCUUAUCCUAAUUCUAACAUUUUUUUUCUCAAUCAUACUUGUAUUGUCCUUACUUUAUACAUGUUAUACAUAAUUUUCUGAAUCCUUAAUUUAUGUAUCUAAUUUGAAGUUUUAUUCUACAAAACUUAUAUAUAAUUGCAAGGUGAAAAAAUUAUUUUUAAUUCAAAUAUUUAUUUUUAGUAAAAAGAUAGUGUAUAUUAUAUUUUGAAUUUUAGUAAAUUAUAUUUGAAAUGAAUAAAUUUUGAUAAAUAUAGAAUAUAUAUCUAAAGAAAUUAAACUAUAUUUUAAUUCUAUAUACAAUAAUUUAGAUUAAAACAUUACUACACCAUUGAUCUAAAUUACUACAAAUUAAGAAUUCAGCAUUCUUUAUAAUAUCAAUUAAUAAAAGUAUCUAUUGUUAUAUUAUUAAUAGUUAUACACCUAUCAAGUAUCUUCAUCUUGAAAGCUCAUUAUCCAUAACUAUGACAUAAUUUAUGAAGAAAUCUUNNNNNNNNNNNNNNNNNNNNNNNNNNNNNNNNNNNNNNNNNNNNNNNNNNNNNNNNNNNNNNNNNNNNNNNNNNNNNNNNNNNNNNNNNNNNNNNNNNNNNNNNNNNNNNNNNNNNNNNNNNNNNNNNNNNNNNNNNNNNNNNNNNNNNNNNNNNNNNNNNNNNNNNNNNNNNNNNNNNNNNNNNNNNNNNNNNNNNNNNNNNNNNNNNNNNNNNNNNNNNNNNNNNNNNNNNNNNNNNNNNNNNNNNNNNNNNNNNNNNNNNNNNNNNACAUCACUUGCAACUUCACUACCAUCAUAAUAAGCCAUAAACAACUUACUUUCUUCAUUAGUUGUCUCUACAUAGUUAACUUGCUUCUCCUUAUACUAGCAAUCUACUUUGACAUGUCCGUAUAUAGCGACCCAGAACUUGAAAGGAAGUAAAUUAUAAAUUAAAUGUAGAAGCAAAAUAAUAGUGUUAGGGUUUAUAUUCCUUACACAAUAAUUCAGAAUACUCAAUAGGGAUACAGGAAUGACCCUUCUAAAAGAAUAACUAAUAAUUAAAGAAAUAAAUAAAAAGUAAACAAACUGAACAUCCUACUCGCAACCUUCUUGUGGAUCGGAAUCUGCAUCUUGGUCCUCUUGAUCUGAAAUGAUUAAUGAAAGAGUGAGUUACACUAGCCCAGCAAGAAUGUCACACCACUCACCGAUACAAAAAUGAAGGUUGGUAAAAAAUCAUUAAAAUAACUAAUGAAUCUCUUAUUUUAAGUAAGUUCAUUUAUCAUAAGUAAAUCAUUUAUUGUGCAUAGUAAAAUUUUAAAAACUGACCUAUAGAGGUAAUAGUACCAACAAUAUCAUAAUCUCAUGUACAAUUAAUCAUAACAACUACCUUUCCUUUUUAUUUGCAUACUGGUAUCCAUAGGGGUUCAUAGGGAUAUUCUCACUACGCGUGAACCCUUAUUCAAUAUUUUAAAUUAACCAACCAUCCCCAUACUCCGUCUGAUAUGAGUGCCAAAAAUUUCAUCCCUCAAUACUCCGUCUGGUAUGCGGACCGUCCCCAUACCCCAUCCGAUAUGAGCACCAAAGUACAAAUCCUCCAUACUCUGUUCAAUGUGAGGCAACAUUCAUGGUAGGGUUCCCUAUAUACCCAAUCCGUCCACCAUCUCCCAGGAUAUCUAGUAAGGCUACCAUUCAUUCAAUCACUUAAUCAAACAAUUUUCCGUUUACAUUUAAUUUUCAGUUUUACAAUUAAACUGUAAAUCACGCAAAACAAGCAAUACAUGCAUCAAGGAAACACAACUAAAUCAUCUUACAACUCUAGCGUAUUAUCAUGCAUUAAAAAUUGUAAAGUCAAUUAAACAGGAUAAACAGUGAAUAAUAACCGGUUUCAGCUCCAUUAGUAACAUGUGAUUAAUUAUCAAAAUUUUUAAAAUUGAAUAAAAUACCACAUUAUUUAUAAUUAAACUUCAAUUCCAUAACAGGAAAUAAGGUGAGAGAUUCUUACCCGAAUCAGUGUCCGAAAGUUAAACUUUUGCCUGCGGCGGCGGUUUGCCUCGUAUUGGCUAUUUUUGGUCAGUUUCAGCUGAUUUCAGCUGAUUUUGUAGUCAUUCCUGCAAGAAAACACAUUAAUGGGCCUCAGUUGGCUGAAAAAAGUUGAAAAACAAAAGCUUACCGACGGUAGAGUUUUUCAGUGUGGUGGCUCCGCUAACUCACCUUUGCAGUUGGGUGUUUUUCUUCGAUCAACCUGUGGAAAACAAAAUGGUGAAUAUGAUGGUGAAAAAAUUACACAAAACGGGAAUCGGGAAAGGCCUCAUCGGAGACAAUUUUUUAUUUUUCCCGCGACGGCGCCGUCGGGGUUUACCCGCGAUUUUAGGCUCAUCUGCCGGUCCUUUUGCUAUGAUUUAGCAAUGGGGGUGUUCAAAAUUAAAUUUCGAGCGAAUAAAAUUUUUUUUACCUCUUUUGGCGGUCGGAGGUGGCUCCGGUACGGCGACAGUCGGCGGUCGGCUAGGGUUAAGGUUUGGUGUGAAGUGAGGUACUUAUAUCCGUCUCCUUUUAAUCUGGAUUGUCUAUCGCAUUUGAUCUGGACCAUCCGAUCGCGUUUAAAUAGGAAGUGAAUCUGGACCGUUCAUCGCGAUUUGAUCUGGGUUGUCCGAUCGAGUUUAAAUAAAAUGGAUAUAGACCCAUCCACACUUGUGAGAACAAAUCUGAACCCGUCCAAUUGCGGGCAUGCAGAUUAUCUGUGUAGCACCGCACUAGUGUGCUUUGCCACGUGACGCGCUCCAAUACGUCGGGGCUGCUGACUGGGCAGUCCUACAUGGCACAUCUUUCCUAAAUGUGUUUUGACCCCUUGUUUUCUAAUUUUUCUUUCAAAAACACCCUCAGAACCUAAAUUUUCACCCCUUUUUCCCAAAAUUGUUUUCAAUUUCAUCCUCCACCUAUUUUUCUUUAUUUUUACAUUAAAUAAAAAUUCAAAAAUUUUAAAAAUUAUAUUUUAUAUAUUAAUUUUAAAUACAUUAAAAUUAAUUCUGGAUAUUACAACUCUCCCCCUAAAAGAAAUUUGGUCCCUCAAAUUUAACUCUCUCUCACUCAAUCGAACAGUUGGGGAUAUUGGGCUCUGAAGUCUAAUUCUAGCUCCCAUGUGGCCUCUCCCUGUGUGUGAUUCUGCCAUAGGACCUUAACGAAAGGAAUUUUUUAAUUGCUGAGUACUCUGCUCUUUUGGUCCACAAUACCAACUGGUACCUCCUCGUAGGACAGAUCCUCCUAGAGUGAAAGAAGGUCAUGGGCCAAGACGUGAGAGGGGUCCUGGUUGUACUUGUGUAGCAUGGACACAUUAAAUAUAUUAUGGACCCUUAAAAGUUCUUGAGGCAGUGCUAGUCUAUUGGUGGCAGUACUAAUUCUGUCUAAACUUUCAAAUGACCCAAUAAAUUGGAAUUUAAUUUCUCCUUCUUACCAAACCUACUAAUUCUCUUGAACGGAGUGACCUUAAGGAACAUCCGAUCACCUCUCUCAAAUUCCAAAUCCCUCCUCCGAGUAUUCGCAUAACUCUUCUGCCUGUUCUGAGCCGUCUGGAUGUUCUUCCUGAUUUUAACUAUUUUGGUUGUAGUCUCCUCCAUAAGAUUUGGACCAAACAAUCUUCUAUCACCCACCUUUUUCCAAUAGAUCAACGAUCUGCAUGGCUGGCCAUACAAUGCCUCGUACGGAGCCACGCCAAAACUUGCUUAGUAGCUGUUAUUGUAGGCGAACUCUAUUAGGGGUAAAUGAUCAUCCCAAUGGCCUCUGAAGUCAAGAACACAAGCUCAGAGCAUAUCUUCCAGUGUGCAAAUCGUCAUUUUUGAUUGUCCAUCAGUCUAAGGGUGGAAUGCAGUACUAAGGGACAAUUUCAUUUCCAUAGCUUACUGAAAACUAGACCAGAACCGAGAAGUGAACUUGCGAUUCGUGUCGGACACUAUUAUCACUGACACUCCAUAUAGCCUGACUAUCUUUCGAAUAUACAUUCUUGCUAGCUUGUCUAAGGAGUCGGUCAUUCUCAUGGCUAAGAAGUGGAAAGACUUGGUGAGCUGAUCAAUAAUUACCCAAAUGACAUCAUGUCCCGAGCGUGCCCUAGGCAAUCUUGUUACGAAAUCUAUUUUGAUAUUUUUCCACUUCCACUCUGGAAUUGGUAAUGGUUGAAGUAGCCCGUCUGGGCGUUGAUGCUUUGUCUUGACUUGCUGACAUACCAAACACUUGGAAACAAAGUUAGCCACAUCUCUUUUUAUCCCGUUCCACUAAAAUCAAGGUCACAUACUUGGAUACAUCUUAGUGCUUCUGGGAUGCAUGGCAAACUUUGAGCUAUGGGCCUCUGUCAUGAUGUCCCUUUUCAGCUUACUGUCACCUAGAACACACACUCUGUCCUAAAAUCUAAGUAACCCAUCAUAAAGGAGUCGAAAUUCUGAAUUAACUCCCUGUUCUGCAUCUUUCUUGAGGGCUGCUAGGGUGGAAUUGGUGGAUUGGACUUCUUUUAUUCUCUUGAUCAACUUAAGUUGAACAGUCAGGUGGGCCAAACAUGUGACUCUCUUUAGGUCCUGAAGUUGUACCUGUUGUGCAGCCCCUAUUGCCUUGCAUUCUGAAACUAUUAAAUGAGCUAAUAUACCUACACUUUUUCUAUUGAGUGCGUCGGCUACCACGUUGCCCUUACCCGGGUGAUACAAAAUGUUGUAAUCAUAGUCCUUGAGGAGUUUUAUCCAUCUUCUUUGACGCAUGUUGAGAUCCUUUUGAGUGAAGAUGUGUUUCAACCUCUUAUGGUCGAUAUAGAUCUGAAAUCUCCCUAUACAAGUAAUGGUGCCAAGUCCUCAAAGCGUGGAUAAUCGCGGCAAGUUCUAGGUCAUGGGUAGGGUAGUUUUUCUCAUGACUCUUCAACUACAUAGACCCAUAGGGUAUGACCUUUGAAUGCUGCAUCAAAACACAACCUAAUNNNNNNNNNNNNNNNNNNNNNNNNNNNNNNNNNNNNNNNNNNNNNNNNNNNNNNNNNNNNNNNNNNNNNNNNNNNNNNNNNNNNNNNNNNNNNNNNNNNNNNNNNNNNNNNNNNNNNNNNNNNNNNNNNNNNNNNNNNNNNNNNNNNNNNNNNNNNNNNNNNNNNNNNNNNNNNNNNNNNNNNNNNNNNNNNNNNNNNNNNNNNNNNNNNNNNNNNNNNNNNNNNNNNNNNNNNNNNNNNNNNNNNNNNNNNNNNNNNNNNNNNNNNNNNNNNAAGCUACAAUCUCCUUGACCAAGGUUAAUUUUUCCCAACCGAGCACUGCUUCAACCUUUUCAGGGUUCACUAACACUUCAUCACUUGAUAUGAUGUGCCCUAGGAAAAUAGUUUACUCGAGAUAGAACCCACACUUGCUCAGCUUUGCAUACAACUUCUUUUCUCUGAGGACUUGCAAAACCUGAGUCAUAUGUUGAGUGUGCUCCUCUCUAUCUUUUGAAUAGACCAAGAUAUCAUCGAUGAACUGAUCCAAGAAUUGUUUGAAAACCUUGUUCAUCAAAUCCAUGAAGAUGGCUAGUGUGUUGGUUAGUCCAAAUAACAUGACUAAGAAUUCAUAGUGUCCGUACCUGGUCUAAAAAGUUAUUUUGGGAAUGUCUUCUGCCUUGAUCUUUACCUGAUGGUAACUUGAACGUAAGUCUAUUUUGGAGAAGAUUGUUGCACCCUGCAACUGAUUAAAAAGGUCACCGAUCUUGGGGAGAGGGUACUUGUUCUUGAUCGUGACCUUGUUUAGUCCCUUGUAGUCAAUAUAUAAUCUUAAUGUCCCAUCCUUCUUCCUUGCAAAUGUGACUCCGACAUCCCAAGGGGACACACUAUGUUAGAUCAAUCCACUAUCCUGCAAUUCAUUGAUCUAUUUCCUCAACUCCUCUAUCUCAACACAACUUAUGCGAUAAAGGGCAACCGAAAUAGGCUGGGUGCCUAGUUAAAGGUCUAUGGUGAAUUCAACUUCUCUCUCCACUGGCAGUCCAGGUAGUUCAUCCGGGAACACAUCUAGAAAGUCUCAGACUAUCAAAAUCUCUUAAAUACAAAUUUUUUUCUUGGGUUUGCCUAGUUAGAGAAAACAAGCGGGUUAAAGCACUUGAUAAUAGGAAAAUUUUUCAUGAGGGAACAAAUGUUAAACAAUUUUAUUAAUUUGUAAAUGACUCCUCAUUAAGAGGGUUGAAUACAAGUUUCUUAUGAAAAUAAUCUAUGGUGGCGUGAUACACUACUAGCCAGUUCAUUCUUAUGAUUAUGUCAAAGUCCCCCGUGUCUAUUAGGCCCACACUCAAUUUUCUAUCAACUAUAUCUAUGACACAGGUUCUGUAUAUAACCUCCCCUAGUAGUGUCUUAUUUCCAAGAGUAUACAUAAACAAUAUAGAAUCAAGUCUUUCAGGUAACACAUUCAAGUUUGAUAUAAAAGCAUGUGAAAUAAAUGAAUGUGAGGCACCAGUAUCAAUUAAAACAUGUGCAAGAUGAUUACAGAUAGUGUAUGUAUCCUGUAUCAUGUCUGGGUUGGCCUCUGCAUCCUGCUGAGUGAGGUUGUAAGCCCUGCACAGGAUAAGAGAUCUGGUCUGGUUCUGAUUCCUUGGCACUCCUUUGCGUAAUGCUAGGUACUUCUACAUAUGCAGCAGGUAUUGUUGAAGUGAUAGCAAGGUCGAUCCUCAUGAUCCUUAUCAUAGUGUUGGCAAGUCCUACCACAUCCUGUUGUUAGAAUCUAAGGAGGAGCUUGAAUCAUUAGCCCAAGUCUCUUGUUCUACUGAAUAAGUGCAGUAGGUGCUGAUCUGUGGUGUGAAACCGAGGGCCUGAGGUUCCCUACUACUGGAGGAAAAAUGCAAAGUUUCCUCUCCACUAGCUGUGCUUUGGCCAGAACAAGCGAGUAAGUACUGAGCUCGAAUACAUACAAUUGCUGUCUGAUCUCAGGAUGGAGGCCCCACUCAAACCUUCUUGUCUUUUUGCCUUCAUCCAUCAUACUCUCAGGGGAAUACCGGCUCAACUCUAGGAACUUUCGAACAUAUUCUAAUACAGUCAUGUGACCCUAGACCAGGUGUGCAAACUCCAUUUCCUUCAGAUGUCAGAGAUGCUCUAAGAGACAUUCUACAUUAAAGGCCAUCAAGAAUUAUUCCCAAGUGACUAGAAUGGGCAGGGUAGCCUGUUUGAGUUGCCACCAAUGGCACGCCUCUCCCACCAGCCUGUAAGUGGCAAAUAUGACUCUCUCUUCGGAAAUCAUCCCAAGAGUCGUGAAGGCCUUCUCUAUCUCAGCUAACUAGUACUCGACCUCUUCAAAUGAAGAUUCUCCUGUAAAAGUAGAUGAGUUUAGUUUUUUAUACCUCUCAAUGUAGCUUGGGUCCAUCAUGGGAGGAACUGGGUCCCAUGAGAGGGGACUGGAUUAUGUUGGGGAUGGAUCAGAUGGCCCUGUGGUGGUACUGGAUGAUACAGCAGAGGCACCGGAUUGCAUGUGGUGGUGCCGGGUGAUGUAGUUGGGGCACAGGGCUAUAUUAUGGUGGUGUCGGGUGGUACUGUGGUGGUACUGGAUGGUACUGUGGACGAACAUGGCUUUCUGAUGUGUUAUUGAUCCUCCCUUUGCAGGGGUGGUUCAACCUGUGGACAUAUUAUAGGGUCAGGAAGCUCCUUCAUUUCCUCCCAGGCCUUUGGACUACGAUGAAUCUUUUUAGAACUUGUUUGUGCCGGUGAACAUCCUCGGAGUGAAUCCUCUCGGGCUGCUUAUAUUAAUGGGGAUAAUCGUCUCCUCAUCUAUCUGUAGCUACAUUUCAUAAAGAAUGAUUGAUUGAUAAUUCAUUCUUUUAUGUAAUGAAUGGUUCUGAUAAACGCGGCUUUGAUACUAACUGUAGCGACCUGAAACUUGAAAGGAAGUAAAUUAUAAAUUAAGUGCAGAAGUGAAAUAAUAGUGUUAGGGUUUACAUUCCUUACAUAAUAAUUCAAAAUACUCAAUAGGGUUACGGGAAUGAUCCUUCUAAAAGAACAACUAAUAAUCAAAGAAAUAAAUGAAAAGUAAACAAACUGAACGUCUUACUCGCAACCCUCUUAUAGAUUGGGAUCUGGAUCUUGGUCCUCUUGAUAUGAAAUGGUUAAUGAAAGAGUGAGCUACACUAGCCCAGCAAGAAUAUCACACCACUCCCCGAUACAGAAAUGAAGGUUGGUAAAAAUCAUGAAAAUAACUAAUGAAGCUCUUAUUUUAAGUAAGUUCAUUUAUCGUAAGUAAAAUCAUUUAUUGUGAACUUACCGUAGCAAAAUUUUAAAAACUGACCUAUAGAGUUAAUAGCACCAACAAUAUCAAAAUCUCAUAUACACUUUCCUAGUUUUGAUGUGAUUUUAGGUAUGGAUUGGCUGGAGGCCUACCAUGCUGUUAUUGAUUGUUAUGAUAAAAUUGUAACCCUCUGUCCUCUCGAGGAGAAAUAUCUUUAGGAUAAAGAUAAAUGGAAAUUUUUUUUGUAUAAACAUAUGUUUUGUAAAUAAAAUUUUGAAUGUUUUAAAUUAAUAAUGUUUGACAUUUUUAGAUUGAAUACAUGAUGAAAGUUUAAAAUAAAAUUAUCUAUCUUUUUUCUAACCUCUUUGAUGCUUAGGCAAAUGGACUCUGAGAACUCUAUACAGAUAAUCCCAAUUGUCUGUAACAUUUUGCAUAUUUUUUUUGAAGAGUUUCUAGGUCUGCCACCCAGACGGGAGAUCUCCAUUGACCUAGUUUUAGGAACACAACCUAUUUCCAAGGCCACUUAUUGGAUGGGCCAAGUUGAACUUCAGGAGUUGGGUUGUCAGAUUGCAGCACUACGAGAAAGAGAUUUAUCAGACCAAGUAAUUCUCCAUGGGGUGCUCCAGUAUUAUUUUUCAAGAAAAAAGAUGGAACUCUUUAGUUGUGUAUUGAUUUCAGGGAGCACAACCAAGUGACAAUCAAGAACAAGUAUCCAUUGCCUCGUAUUGACGAUCUGUUUGACCAGUUACAAGUACAUCAAUCUUUUCUAAGAUUGAUCUUAGGUUAGGCUACCACUAGUUGAGGGUUAGAGACAAUGACAUUCCCAAGAAAGUAUUUCGCUGUAAUUAUGGCCAUUUUGAAUUUAGGGUCAUGCUCUUCGGGUUAACCAAUGCUCCUAUGACAUUCAUGGAUCUUAUGAACUGAACUUUCAAGCCUACAUUGGGUCAAUACGUUAUUCUUUUUAUCGAUGAUAUUCUAUUUUAUUUGAAGGAUCAUCAAGAGUAUGUUGUCCACCUUAAUCAAGUUUUGAGAACACUUAGAAGGCAUAAAUUGUAUGUCAAGUUCAAUAAGUGCGCCUUUUGGUUAGAUUGGAUCUCUUUCCUUGGUCAUGUUGUUUUUGGUGAAGGUGUUUAUGUGGAUCCCUCGAAGUUCAAGGCAGUAAUUAAUUUGAGUCAACUAACCAAUAUCAGUGAAGUCCAUAGCUUUUUGGGUUUGGCGAGAUUUUAUUUGUAAUACUCUGACUUUUUGACACUGACCAGAUUUUAAAACUACGAUAUUUUUAGUCUACUACCUUGCAAAAUUUUUUAUUUAGAAUUAUAAGCCCUUUUAUUUUAAUUAGUUUUUCCAAAUUUUAUCUGUAUUUACCAAAAUUUAAGGAAAAAAAAAGAAACAAUGGCUUGAGAAAAAUUCAGACCGCGGCUCGUGGCCUGCAACCCGCAUGUCGCAGUCCACGACCCCCGAGUCGCAACCCGCGACUGUGGAUAGCCCGCACGCACUAUGUUUGCCUUCAUUGGUCAAAUGGCCACUCUCGAUCUUUUUUUUCUUCUUUUGGCCAUACUUGUGGGCCCAAAUCCACCUCUUCACUCCAUUCCACCUAUUUCUCCAAAGUGGCGCAAAUGCGACCUUCCCUUUUUCUAUUUAAGCCUCUUCCUUUCCAUUUCCUCAUCACCAUUUUUCCUUCUUAAUUUUUCAAUCUUAUAGAGAGAGUAAGAUGAGAGACUUUUGGAGAUUGAAAGGGGAGACUUUAGGGAGAUUAAGGAGCAAGAAAUAAAAGAAAAGUUUGGAGUUUCACAAACUCGUUCGAAUGAUUUCUAGAAGCUUUUACUUGGCUACCAAAAGGCUAAGUCAACCCGGUUAUAGUAAGGGAUUCUUUAGUAUUUACUUUUACGCCUCUAAGUGCUCUUUCUAGCUAAAUAAAAUAAUGAUAAUAUGAGAUAGUUGUGAAUGCUUACUUGAUGUCAUAUUUUAUUUAAUAUUGGUUAAUAAUCAACUGAGAUAUCUUUAUACUUAUUUUGGCUAGAUAGGAUUUGUAAGAGUACUAAUCAUUUGCCUUAUUCUUAGAAAGAGCAAAUAGGGGUAAUUUGAUUAGCCACGACUACGUGAAAAUAUCCUGUUGGUCAAGACUAGAAGGAAUUGAUUUUUGGCCAAAUAGGUUGGACCCCCACCAGGUUCUGAACAUGAAGCAUGAUGCAUAAAACUUUAUUUAGAGUGAUGUUUUGCUUAGUUGAACUGUUGGUUUGUUUUCUCUAUAAUGUUUGAUACCGUUUUGCCAUGGAAAUACUAAGCAUACUGCAUGAAAACAUGAAAGUAGAAGUUUGCAUGCAGGUCUGGCCCUUUGCCUUACUUAAGUAAUGGUGAAGAGGGUUAUUCUAGUGGAGUUUAGUUAAAGAGGGUGACCCAAAGCUCAAGUCUCGAUAUGUGAUAUGAGCCUUUAGGCAUGAUAUGUCCAAUGAGUCUUCAGACAGGAUAUAUGAUAUGAGCCUUCAAGCUGGAUAUGAGCCUUCAUGGUAGAUGAAUUGAAAACUCUUUAUCGGGUUUGAAAAUGAUUGCAUUGAACAUGUAACAUCCAUAUGAAAAGAAUAUGCAAUUGUUGUGAACAUGAAAUAAAUAAGUGAGAAGAAUGAAAAAAUCCGUUUGACCAUUAUCUUUGAGGGGUUUUUUUUUCCUCCCUUCUCUGAGUAAGUGUUGGCAAAUCACUUUCUGUGAUGAUCGAUGUUCUCUCUGAUGAGAGAGGAUACGCGUUAAGUGAAUAUAAGAUUCCCAUGAUCAAUAGAUUGCCAUAGAUUAGAGUCUACAUAGGGAAAUGAUAAGGACUCGAGAAUGGGUCGGUGAUUCACAAUGGAGUCAGGAUCCCUUCUGCCCUCAGUGGAUAUAAGUUGCAAUGAUUUUACACGAAGGUCAGUAAAAAACAAAUUAAUUUUUAAGUAUGGUUUAAAGCAUCAUUUCAAUCUGUAUGAUGAAAAUUUCUAUUUUUGGUGCAUCAUUUAUACUUUUUGAUAUUCCUCUUGUCAUUACCUUAUCCAACUUCUCUGUUUGAGUAUUCUUGAUGAAAUGUAUCUACUUAAGAAGAUAUUUUUAUCAUGUUGAAAAUCUGUUUAUCUGGUAUUUAUAAAGACAACAGUUUUUCACACGAUUUAAUGGCUUCAUCCUACAAUGAACUCUAAGGUAAGAGGUAUAUAGGCUUUAUUCAAAAUGUUUACUCUUUAAACCUUAGUCAUGUGAUUUCAAAUAUUAUUUCCCUUACUGAGUUUACAUGGAACUCACCCCUAAUCUGCGCCCCCCAAGGUGUUGAGAAAGUUAAGGCUACGCUCUCUGAGUCACCUCUUAGAGUCUAGUUAAACUCAAUUCCAAACUCUUGAUAAUAUUUGAGGACAUAAUUCGAGUGUAAUAGCUACUCCGCACUAUGAUGAAGCUUCUUGUAAGGAGCCUAUCUCGUAUUGAAUUGUCAUCUUAUUGCUUUAGUGUAGGGAAGCAAACUUAGAAGGUUGUAAGGGAUUUCUUAAUUUCGCUUUAAUGUAAAAAAGUUAUUUUGCACUCAAAAUCUAUUGAGUUCUUGACUCCUUUUUUACCCAAUGGGAAUUUGGGACAUCAUAAAAUGGUAUUAGAGCCUGAUUCUACGAGAGAUCCCUCAUUAAUAGGUUCCCAAGUCCAAUAUUAGAAGCCUUAGAUGUCAGUCACUAUCAAUAUUACAGAGUUGUCUACUAAUUAGACAGUUUAUGAAAUGUACUACAUCUAGAAAAUACUAGGAACUAUUUUAAAACUCUCUGAUGUAUACGCCUUAGCAGUUGAAAAUUUAUUCUACAAAUGAUGUUUUAUUCUAACCCGUGUGGUACGUAGGAGGAUGGAUCCUAACCAUCACCUCAAACCAUUCCUAUUGUUGGUAACUUUCUAGAUGUCUUCCUUAGGGAACUAAUGAGACUGUCAUCCAGGCAAGAUGUUGAGUGCUCCAUUAAUCUAGUUCCUGGAACUCAACCCGUGGACAUAUCCCCAUGCCAAAUGAACAAGAUCAAGCUUUGGGAACUGCAUCACUAACUCUUGUCAUUGCAAGAGAAAAUGUUUAUUUGACCUAGGUCCUCUCCAUGGGGUGCCCAGGUCUUAUUCACAAAAAGAAAGGAUGGAACUCCUGACCAUUGCAUUAAUUACCUAGAACUCAACCAAGUGACCACCAACAAAUGGUGUCCCUUGCCCCAUGUUAAAAACCUGUUUAAUUAACUUCCAAGAGUUGAAAUGUUCUCCAAGCUCCACCUCAAGUCGGGGUAUCAUCAAAUAAGAGUCUAAACCGAGGAUAUGCCAUUAACAGAGUUUUCCUCCUGCUAUGGUCGUUUUUAAUUUCGAGUCAUGCCCUAUGGAUUAACAAAUAUCCUGGUAAUACUCUCUAACCUCAUGAACCAGAUUUUGAAAAUUGCCCUAGAUCAGUACAUUUUUAUCAACAUCGACGAUAUACUAGUGUACUUAAGGAACUCCCAAGAUCAUGCCGACCACCAGACUCAUGUAAUGGAAACUCUUUGUCAACAUCAUCUAUACGCCAAGUUUGAAAAGUCCUCCUUCUGGAUGGAUCAGAUCUCUUUCUUUGGACAUAUGGUUUCCAAAGGGCUUUCCAUCAUCCCAGCGAUGAUCGAGAAUGUCAUCAGCUUAGAUCAACUAAUCAUCAUAAAAAAUGUUUAAAGAUUUUUCAGACGAGUUGAGUACUAUUAGCAUUUCAUCCAGCACCUUUCUUGCAUUUCCACUCCCCUGAAAAACCUUGUCAAUAAGCAAUUCUACUUUAAUUGGGAUCCUAAAUGUGAAGAAAACAUUUAGGAGAUUAAGUGUCGACUUACCACUGCUCCGAUAUUUGUCUUUCCUGAUAACACCAACUACCUUCGAAUAGAAAGCAACGUGUCCCAUACAGGAUUGGAGAGUGUGUUCAUACAGUAGGGUUGUAACACCCCGCUCACCAUCGUGCUAAAUUUGUACCUGGAAACCCCUAUUUAUUCAGGGCUUAAGACCACCUGAACUCAUUUAAAUUAAUCUCGUAGCAUUAUAUCGUAAUUUGUUAUUUAAAUUCUUGAUUUCAAUUUUAUACUGAUUUUGUUAUUUUAUCUUUAUUUUAUUUUUUAUUUUAUUUUUAUUUAAUUUUAUAUAUUAUUUUUUUCUAUUUAAAAAUAAUUUUCAAGAGAAAAUAGAAAAAGGGGGAGAAAUCCUGCAGGAAAAUGCCUGCGGGAAAGGCUCAUCCAUGCGGGCACCGCGCGCAUGCACACGCAACCAAGCGUAGGACGUGUGCACGUCCCAUAUGUGCGGGGUGCGGGGUCGGCCUAUGUGAACACAUCGUCGCACGCAGACAGGCCAGUCCUCUCACAUCACGCACAGACUGGGCCGGGACCGCACACCCUGUGCGCUCACCGUCCGCACAGUAGGCCUGCACAGAUAGGCCUGCGCACAUGUAGGCUAGCUCCUGCAUGCGGUAGGGUAGGCCCGCGCCUGCAACGCGCAGCUAGCCUGGUGAGGCACACUACUGCCUCGGGCAGUGUGUCAUCGCCCCUUGUGCACCAUGCACCGCCUUGGGGUAAGUGUUGCUGCUGGGGGAGGAUUCUUCCUUUUUUUUGUGCUGUCAUCGUGUCACCUCAAAGCAUUCAUCUUUCACUCAACUCUCUCUCUCCUCACUAGAUUUUGCCACUUGGCACAAAUCCAAUGGUAUUUAGUUUCUAUAAAUAGGGACCCCUUUCUUCCAUCCUCCAAGAGCUUAGAGAGAGAGGGAAUGAUCUAGAGAGAGAAGGAGAAAAGGAGAAGAAGAAAAGUGUAGGAAAACCUCGAGGUUUUGAUAAGAAAUUUAGUAUUUCCUUAAACAUCUUAAGGAGCAUUUCUGGAAAAAUAAAAAAUUAUGAAGUUUUCUUUUUGUGCUUGCAUGUUUUAUGUCUAAUAGUUCUAAUAAAGUGAUUUGUUCUUGAUUUCAAGCAUGCUAUGUGAUUUAUAAGCACUUGAUGAUUUGUAUGUAAAUUAAAUAACAUGAAUCUGGUGAUAUUUGUCUGAAAAAUAUUUUUUAAAAAAAAGAAAAGAAAAGGGGAAUGAGCCUAAAUGGUCUGAAAUAUAUAUAUAUAUAUAAGUAUUGACAUGCAUAAUGCAUUAAGUGUCUUGUUAACCUUUUUAUCUCUGAAAGAUUUAUGUUUCCCCCACCCCACCUGAUCUGGAAAGAUAUGAGAGGACUGCUCCGUAUAGAUGACGGCGUACCCUCUAACGAAAGCGGUGACGCGAAUAUCUUUUAGGGAUCACUUUUAGCUAAAUAUUGUCGUGGCUAUAAAAUAUCUCAUAGGACCACUGUGGUCGGUAUAAUCAUGGUCAUUGAUUGUGCCAUGGUUUGGCAAGCUAAAAAUUUUCCUGAGCAAACUAUCGUUAUAUAUGUGAUAUGGUCAUCCCACAUGGGUAGUCAGAAAUCCGUAUCUUCUCUCAGAGAUGAAAUUUGAAACGACUUCGUGAAGCAUGACAUAAAAAUCUGAGCAUUUCAUGAUUUAUUUGAUUUUCUCUAUUGUUAACUAUGAUGCUUGAUUUGAUUGUUGUGAUUAUUUAUGCUGAUUCUGACAUUUUCUUUAAUAACUAAAAUUAUCUUCAUAAAGUAAUAAAUGACCCUGACAUACCCUAAUAGUAAGUAUUAAUGACAUAAUUAUUCACUUUUAAAAUUUUACAAUGUUAUUUAAAUAUUAUUUUCUUUACUGAAUAUAUGGAACUAACCCUUUCCAUGCCCCCUCCCCAGAUGAGGAAGAUAGUGAGGAACCGAUCACUGACUUACUCUUUAAAGUCUAUGAAGAUCCCAUGGAUCUAAAUAUCUUGAGUACAUGACUUGUCUCGUACUCUGAUGAGUCUAAUCGCAUAGUGAAAGAAGUGACCUUUUGUAUUUUGAUAUUUUGUAUUUUACCACUUCUGGCCUCAGUUAUAUAUGUGUAAUUGGAACUCAUAUAUUUUGGUAAGGGAUUUAUAAUAAUUUUCUCUGCUGCA